rnacentral:rRNA from 1 species
UUCCCUACGGGAGGCAGCAGCCGCGGUAAUACGGAGGAUGCGAGCGUUAUCCGGAUUUAUUGGGUUUAAAGGGUGCGUAGGCGGAAUGCCAAGUCAGCGGUAAAAUCGCGGGGCUCAACCUCGCUCCGCCGUUGAAACUGGCGUUCUUGAGUGGGCGAGAAGUAUGCGGAAUGCGUGGUGUAGCGGUGAAAUGCAUAGAUAUCACGCAGAACUCCGAUUGCGAAGGCAGCAUACCGGCGCCCAACUGACGAUGAAGCACGAAAGCGUGGGUAUCGAACAGGAUUA